AUGUUACCCAAACAGGCAAUGAAUUUGCUCCGGAUUGCCAUAUACAACAUCAGCUACAUCAGAGGCCUAUUCCCUGAGAAUUGUUUCAUUGUCAAGUCUAUCCCAGAUAUAGGAAUUGAGAUUCAGAUGCUCAUGCACAUUGAUCCUGAGAUUAGGAGGUUCAUUGAUCUGCUGGAAAAGGGUGUUUAUGAUGCGUUACAAAAGAAUUAUCUCAAGACCCUUCUACUUUGCAUAUGUGAGGAGGAAGGGGAAAUUAUUGAGGAGUAUGCCUUUUCAUUUAGGUAUCCAAACUUGAAUCGUGAAGAUGUUGUUAUGGAAGUGAAUCUCACCGGGAGUGAAAAAAAUGGCAUUAAAUUCAAGUCAAAUGCCGCAGAAGUCACUCCUGAUCACAUGAGGAGUGUUGCUUGUAAAUUAAUCAGAACUCUUGUUUCCCUCAUGAGCACCUUGGAAGAAUUGCCAGACAAGUUCAAGAUCCAGAUGAAGCUGCUAUACUAUGAUGAUGAGACACCAGAAAAUUAUGAUGCCCCCCCUUUUGAGUGCUGUACUGGUGUUGUCGGGAAUAAUAAGCCCUUGCAGAUGGAGGUUGGGGGUGCCAAUAAGGAGGACCCCGUUUUAGCUUUGAAGAUUAAUACUGAAGAUAGCAAUAUAAGCUUAAUAACUAAUUCAAAGCAACCUGAAUGCUUAUCGCGGUGUGAGGAAAGUCUUGUCAGAAGAUUUGAGCUCUGUUGCAUAUCUAAAAGACGGCCAAUGUUUCACUUGGACUCUGGUGCAUCAUUCCACAUAUGCAAUAACAAAUCUUAUAUGAAGAAUUUGAAGCCUAUUCCCAAGGAAGAACAGGAGCCAGUUUUUCUUGCAGAUGAGGUGGAGUGUGUUGCAGAGGAAAUAGGAUCUGUUGCUUUUGAGAAUAUAAAUCUGAGCCAAGUGUUGUAUAUACCAGAUAUUGCUUUCAGUGUAUUCUCUGUGGGACAGCUGGAUCAGCAAGGGUUGCUUAUUUCAAUUACUAGUAGCUUGUUCCAGAUCACUGACGUAGAUAAUGCAAUUAUCAUUGGAGAAGGCUAUACGGAUACGCAAUGUAAAGACUGUGUGUUUAGGGGCAUCAACUGGGUACAACCAGACCCUGAACCUGAAGAGAUAGCUGGUGUGAACCUUCCACGGAAGCAAGGUUAUGAGGGGUGGGUUUUUGAUACUUGCUCUGCAUGCCACAUGACUUGCAAAAAAGAGCUUUUGGCCAAUAUUAGACCUUGCAAGGAAGUCUAUCAAACCCCAAAGGGUACUAUAUCGAGUACUCACAGUGGAGAUAUCAAAACUGAAAAUCUUAAUUUGUCAAAAGUUCUGUACUCCCCCAAGGCCACGAGAAAUCUUAUAUCAGUACCAUUGCUUGAAAAAGAGGGUUAUCGAUUCACAUUUUACCGGGGAAAGUGUGGUAUAGUGUUCAAAGGUGCACUAAGACAGUGUGGCUCUGGAGCCGAAGACCCUAGAGAUAACUUGUAUUACUUGGUUGAAUUCAACAGCAAGAAAAAUAUUCUUAACACAAAGAGGAGAAGGGAAGUCGAAGAUGAUUAG
rnacentral:rRNA from 1 species